rnacentral:rRNA from 2 species
UUACCGAGUUUACAACUCCCAAACCCCUGUGAACAUACCAAUUGUUGCCUCGGCGGAUCAGCCCGCUCCCGGUAAAACGGGACGGCCCGCCAGAGGACCCCUAAACUCUGUUUCUAUAUGUAACUUCUGAGUAAAACCAUAAAUAAAUCAAAACUUUCAACAACGGAUCUCUUGGUUCUGGCAUCGAUGAAGAACGCAGCAAAAUGCGAUAAGUAAUGUGAAUUGCAGAAUUCAGUGAAUCAUCGAAUCUUUGAACGCACAUUGCGCCCGCCAGUAUUCUGGCGGGCAUGCCUGUUCGAGCGUCAUUUCAACCCUCAAGCCCCCGGGUUUGGUGUUGGGGAUCGGCGAGCCCUUGCGGCAAGCCGGCCCCGAAAUCUAGUGGCGGUCUCGCUGCAGCUUCCAUUGCGUAGUAGUAAAACCCUCGCAACUGGUACGCGGCGCGGCCAAGCCGUUAAACCCCCAACUUCUGAAUGUUGACCUCGGAUCAGGUAGGAAUACCCGCUGAACUUAAGCAUAU